rnacentral:rRNA from 1 species
UUAAACCAUCUGGGGGAUGGCUCGGCUCAAAAGCCGAUGAAGGGCGUGACAAGCUGCGAAAAGCUCGGGCGAGGUGCAUGUAGCCAUUGAACCCGAGAUCCCCGAAUUGGACUCCUGCACAGGCAAAACCUGUGCGCUCGGUAACGAGCGGGAACGCGGGGGAAUGAAGCAUCUUAGUACCCGCAGGAAAAGAAAGCAAUGGCGAUGCCGUUAUUAAAGGCGAUCGAAAGCGGCACAGGGCAAACUGAAUCCUGCAUGGAAACAUGUAGGAGAUGUGGUGUUGAUAUGUCCGCUGAACCCUAGUAAACUAAAGCCGAAGUGAGAUGGAAUGCUCCGUCUGAGAGGGUGAGAGCCCCGUAGGCGUAUGUUUAAGGGUUCUGGACAUGUCGAGAGUAGCACGGGUCGGAUAUCUCGUGUGAAGAUGGGAGGCAUCGACUCCUAACCCUAAAUACUUUUUGAGACCGAUAGUGAACUAGUACCGUGAGGGAAAGCUGAAAAGUACCCCCGACAGGGGGUGAAAAGAGCCUGAAACCAGGUGGUUAUAGCCCGUAGUGGCGUGAAAGGGUAGAGUCUCUCUGAAGGAAAGUAUCGUGAGGUACCUGUACGAAGAGAGAGGACCAGCGUCACUACAUACGUUUUGAAAAACGGGGCGGGGACUCUAUGGUCAUGGCGAGGUUAAGGAGUAUAACUCCGGAGCCGCAGGGAAACCAACAGGCCCGCAGCUCUUUAUGAGCAAGGGGCGGAGUGCGAAAGUGCUCGGAGUCAUGGCUGUGGGACCCGAAACCGGUCGAUCUAGCCCAGGGCAGGGUGAAGCGUGGCGAAAGCCACGUGGAGGCUCGAACCGGUGCUGAUAUUCAAAUCGCUCGGUUGACUUUGGGCUAGGGGUGAAAGGCCAAUCAAGGCCGGUGUCGGCUGGUUCCUUCCGAAAUGUGUCGAAGCACAGCUUGACUGGAGGUAGUUAGCGACGUAGAGAUACUGAUUGGGUGUUUAGGGGGCGAAAGCCCUCGGCAUCCUGUCAAACUCCGAAGCUGCUAACGCCGUAGAAGGUCAAAGUGAGGGCGUGGGGGUAAGCUCCAUGUCCGAAAGGGGAAUAACCCAGCCUGAGGUUAAGGUCCGUAAGUGCAUGCUAAGUGCCAAAUAGGAAGGGAGUUCUUGGCCUAAGACAGCGAGGAGGUAGGCUUAGAAGCAGCCAUCCUUUAAAGAGUGCGUAACAGCUCACCCGCCGAGGUCAAGGGCCCUGAAAAUCGACAGGGUUAAGCAUGCCACCGAUACCUCAGAGAAGCGCAAGCUUAUCUCGUAGGAAGGCGUCCUGCUAGGGUAGAAGCUGGGGCGUAAGUUCCAGUGGACCUUGCAGGAAUGAGAAUCCCGCCAGUAGUAGCAGCAAAGUGGGGUGAGAAUCCCCACCGCCGUAGGGGCGAGGCUUCCUCGGCAACUAUCGUAGGCUGAGGGUUAGUCGGUCCUAAGGACAUGCACAAUUUGACAUGUUCGAAAGGGAAACAGGUUAAUAUUCCUGUACCUCUCAGGUACAUGCGGCAACGCGAGCCUUUUUCCAGACGCUUUGGGCUAAGCCGAGCAGGGCUGUCACCCUGUUUAAGCGUAUAAACGUGGGGAGUACCGUAAUGGUGAGAACCAGGCGAAAGCGUGAACAGGCCUCUGUAUAGAGGCUUCGGCUUAUAGCUUGGAGCCCGUGAAAAUGGAAAGAGGAAGGAUCCUGAGAGUCCGUACCUAGAACUGACGCAGGUGUCUCUGGGUGAGAAGCCUAAGGCGCGUCGGAGAAACGCAGUCGAGGGAAUUCGGCAAAAUGGCCCCGUAUCUUCGGUAGAAGGGGUGCCAGCUCUGUGUAAGAGCUGGUCGCAGUGACCAGGGGGCUCCGACUGUUUAAUAAAAACAUAGGUAAUCGCAAGCCCGUAAGGGUGAGUACGGUUGCUAACUCCUGCCCAGUGCUGGUACGUGAAACCCCGGUUCAACGGGGUGAAGCGCCGGUAAACGGCGGGGGUAACUAUGACCCUCUUAAGGUAGCGUAAUACCUUGCCGCUUAAUUGGCGGCUUGCAUGAAUGGAUGAACGAGAGCCCUACUGUCCCCGACUGCGGUCCGGUGAACCUGUUAUGCUGGUGCACAGACCAGCGACCCCCAACGGGUAAAGAAGACCCUGUGGACCUUUACUGCAGCCUGUCGUUGUGUUAUGGUUGUGGAUGUAGAGUGUAGGCAGAAGCCAUCGAAGCCUGCUCGCCAGGGCAGGUGGAGGCGCCAAUGGAACACUGCCCAUCUACGACUAUAUCACUAACUGCUUUGGCAGGACAUCGGUUGGUGGGCAGUUUGGCUGGGGCGGCACCCCCCUGAAAAGAUAUCAGGGGGGCUCUAUGGUUGGCUCAACCGGGUCAGAAAUCCGGUGUAGAGUGUAAGGGCAAAAGCCAGCCUGACUGGAUUCCGCACAGCAAGGAAUCCAGCCGCGAAAGCGUGACCUAACGAACCACCGAGUGCUCCUCGAUGGGGCCCGGUGAUAACAGAAAAGGUACCUCAGGGAUAACUGAGUUGUCGCGGGCAAGAGUUCACAUCGACCCCGCGGCUUGCUACUUCGAUGUCGGCUCUUCCUACCCUGGAGGUGCAGCAGCCUCCAAGGGUGGGGUUGUUCGCCCAUUAAAAGGGAUCGUGAGCUGGGUUUAGACCGUCGUGAGACAGGUUAGUUUUUAACUGUUGGGGGUGUUGGUCGUCUGAGGGGAAGCAGCGUUUAGUACGAGAGGAACGGCGCUGCGUGGCCUCUGGUCUACCUGUUGUCCGACAGGGCAUGCAGGGCAGCUACGCCGCAAGGGAUAAGAACUGAAGGCAUCUAAGUUCGAAACCCACCUCGAAAAGAGACGGCCAUUUCUCAGCACGUUCAGUAAGUCCAAAGUGUUAUAAAAGGCGCUUCGGGUUGACACUGGAUGGAAAACCGGGGUUCGCGAGGACAACGGCUGCUGAGAACAAGGGCACGGGUAGAAGACCCGUUUGAUAGGGCAGGGGUGUAAGCUGCAAGCCUUCGGGCGAGUAGUUCAGCCCGCUGCUACUAAUUGCCCGAGG